UAGGGAAUCUUCCGCAAUGGACGCAAGUCUGACGGAGCAACGCCGCGUGAGUGAAGAAGGCUUUAGGUUCGUAAAACUCUGUUGUUAGAGAAGAACAGCGCAUAGAGUAACUGUUAUGCGUGGGACGGUAUCUAACCAGCAAGCCACGGCUAACUACGUGCCAGCAGCCGCGGUAAUACGUAGGUGGCAAGCGUUGUCCGGAUUUAUUGGGCGUAAAGCGAGCGCAGGCGGUCAAUUAAGUCUGAUGUGAAAGCCCCCGGCUCAACCGGGGAGGGUCAUUGGAAACUGGUUGACUUGAGUGCGGAAGAGGAGAGUGGAAUUCCAUGUGUAGCGGUGAAAUGCGUAGAUAUAGGGAGGAACACCAGUGGCGAAGGCGACUCUCUGGUCUGUAACUGACGCUGAGGCUCGAAAGCGUGGGUAGCAAACAGG
rnacentral:rRNA from 1 species